AUGGUAGGAUAGAGGCCUACCAUGGUGGUAACGGGUAACGGGGUGUUAGGGCACGACACCGGAGAGGGAGCCUGAGAAACGGCUACCACAUCCAAGGAAGGCAGCAGGCGCGCAAAUUACCCAAUCCCGACACGGGGAGGUAGUGACAAUAAAUAACAAUACAGGGUUCUUUGAAUCUUGUAAUUGGAAUGAGUACAAUUUAAAUCUCUUAACGAGGAACAAUUGGAGGGCAAGUCUGGUGCCAGCAGCCGCGGUAAUUCCAGCUCCAAUAGCGUAUAUUAAAGUUGUUGCAGUUAAAAAGCUCGUAGUUGAAUUUCGGGAUCAAUACGUCGGUCGUGCUUUCGGGUACGUACUGGCGUCAUUGGUUUCUCCUUUCUGACGAACCAUGAUGUCAUUAAUUUGGUGUUAUGGGGAGUUAGGACUGUUACUUUGAAAAAAUUAGAGUGUUUAAAGCAGGCAUUAGCUUGAAUACAUUAGCAUGGAAUAAUGAAAUAGGACGUUCGAUCCUAUUUUGUUGGUUUCUAGGAUCAACGUAAUGAUUAAUAGGGAUAGUUGGGGGCAUUAGUAUUCAAUUGUCAGAGGUGAAAUUCUUGGAUUUAUUGAAGACUAACUACUGCGAAAGCAUUUGCCAAGGAUGUUUUCAUUAAUCAAGAACGAAAGUUAGGGGAUCGAAGACGAUCAGAUACCGUCGCAGUCUUAACCAUAAACUAUGCCGACUAGGGAUCGGAUGAUGUUAAUUUUUUAAUGACUCAUUCGGCGCCUUACGGGAAACCAAAGUGUUUGGG
rnacentral:rRNA from 1 species